rnacentral:ncRNA from 2 species
GCUGACAGCGCGGGAGAGACCUGCCGAUUCGGCCCCCGAAAGGGAUCGGAACGGCAGGCGCCGAAGGAGCAACCGCCCCGGAAUCUCUCAGGCAAAAGGACCGCGCCAGUCGA